GUGGCCAGAAUAAUUCGAACCAUGCAAGUGUAAAUACACUCCCGGGCAUACAACCCCACGUUGACCUAGGAAAACCAAAUCAUAACACGCCUACAUCGCUUCCGU
rnacentral:lncRNA from 1 species